rnacentral:rRNA from 1 species
UACGAAGGGGGCGAGCGUUGUUCGGAUUUACUGGGCGUAAAGGGCGCGCAGGCGGCUCAUUUUGUCAGGCGUGAAAGCCCCGGGCUUAACCUGGGAACUGCGUUUGAUACGGAUGGGCUAGAGUUCGGGAGAGGAGAGUGGAAUUCCCAGUGUAGAGGUGAAAUUCGUAGAUAUCAGGAGGAAUACCGAUGGCGAAGGCAGGUCUCUGGGCUAUAACUGACGCUCAUGCACGAAAGCGUGGGGAGCAAACAGG